UCGUGAGACAGUUCGGUCCCUAUCCGUCGUGGGCGUAGGAAAUUUGAGAGGAGCUGUCCUUAGUACGAGAGGACCGGGAUGGACAUACCUCUGGUGUACCAGUUGUCGUGCCAACGGCAUAGCUGGGUAGCUAUGUGUGGACGGGAUAAGUGCUGAAAGCAUCUAAGCAUGAAGCCCCCCUCAAGAUGAGAUUUCCCAACUUCGGUUAUAAGAUCCCUCAAAGAUGAUGAGGUUAAUAGGUUCGAGGUGGAAGCAUGGUGACAUGUGGAGCUGACGAAUACUAAUCGAUCGAAGACUUAAUCAAAA
rnacentral:rRNA from 1 species